rnacentral:rRNA from 1 species
CAGCCGCCGCGGUAAUACGGAGGGUGCAAGCGUUAUCCGGAUUUAUUGGGUUUAAAGGGUCCGUAGGCGGAUCUGUAAGUCAGUGGUGAAAUCUCACAGCUUAACUGUGAAACUGCCAUUGAUACUGCAGGUCUUGAGUAAAUUUGAAGUGGCUGGAAUAAGUAGUGUAGCGGUGAAAUGCAUAGAUAUUACUUAGAACACCAAUUGCGAAGGCAGGUCACUAAGAUUUAACUGACGCUGAUGGACGAAAGCGUGGGGAGCGAACAGGAUUAGAUACCCGCGUAGUCCCUGUCUCUUAUAU